CUUUCUUUGCUGGCGACCGGCGCACGGGUGAGUAACACGUAUCCAACCUGCCCUUUACUCGGGGAUAGCCUUUCGAAAGAAAGAUUAAUACCCGAUGGUAUAAUGAUUCCGCAUGGUUUCAUUAUUAAAGGAUUCCGGUAAAGGAUGGGGAUGCGUUCCAUUAGGUUGUUGGUGAGGUAACGGCCCACCAAGCCUUCGAUGGAUAGGGGUUCUGAGAGGAAGGUCCCCCACAUUGGAACUGAGACACGGUCCAA
rnacentral:rRNA from 1 species